UCUGCAGUUUAGUUAAGAAGAGCAUUUAUGUUUAGAAUAUUACAUCAUUCUGACUAAUGGAAAAAAUUAAUUAAGAAAUGUGAGUUUGGAUUCAGUUAUCAAAAGGUAUUUAUUCUUACAAAAGAACCAUAUUGGAACAUCUAAUGAAUUUUUUUGAGUAUGAUCGUUUUAGUUUGUAAAACAGUCUAAUGUUAUAUCAGGUUGUAGUUUUGUAGGUUGUGAUUCAGUUUUAAAGUUAAACACUGAAUGACUACAUAUAUUGUAGAGGAACACAGUGAAAUGUUGUUUUGACCUGAAAAUAUUAAUAAUAACAGAAUCUUGUGAAAAAAGGUUCAUGUUUCCAUAGAAAGAAGUGAAAACAUGAAAGGCCACUGAAGAGACAAGAUGUAAGAAGAAGACAGAUAACUUUAAUUAAAGCCACAAAGACAAAGUAAUUUUUUGCUUGUAUCAUCAUACAUGUACCUGAGCAAAGAGAUGUUAUUAAUCACUCAUUUAAAAACAUACAAAGAAAAUAUGUUAGAA